AUUGAACGCUGGCGGCAGGCCUAACACAUGCAAGUCGAACGAAGUGGCGAACGGGGGAGUAAUACGUGGGUAACCUGCCCUCCUUUUUGGGAUAAGCCUUGGAAACGGGGUCUAAUACCGACUAAAGGGGGAUGGGCUCGCGGCCUAUCAGCUUGUUGGGGGGGUGAUGGCCUACCAAGGCGGUGACGGGUAGCCGGCCUGAGAGGGGGACCGGCAACGUAGGGACUGAGCUGCGGCCAAGGGUCCUAAGGGAGGGGGCAGUGGGGGAUAUUGCAGAAUGGGCGAAAGACUGAUGCAGCGACGCCGCGUGGGGGCUGAAGGCUUUCGAGUUGUAAACCUCUUUCGGUAGCGAACGGGUAGGUGGAGAAGAAGCGCCGGCUAACUACGUGCCAGCAGCCGCGGUAAUAC
rnacentral:rRNA from 1 species